rnacentral:rRNA from 1 species
UACGUAGGGGGCAAGCGUUGUCCGGAUUUAUUGGGCGUAAAGAGCGUGUAGGCGGCCAUGCAGGUCAGCUGUGAAAACUCGAGGCUCAACCUCGAGACGUCGGUUGAAACCGUAUGGCUAGAGUCCGGAAGAGGAGAGUGGAAUUCCCGGUGUAGCGGUGAAAUGCGCAGAUAUCAGGAAGAACACCAGUGGCGAAGGCGGCUCUCUGGGACGGUACUGACGCUGAGACGCGAAAGCGUGGGGAGCGAACAGG